AGCAGAAUACACCAAGACGCCCCCCUCGCAUGGAUGUGUCAAUGAUCACCCCAGAAUCCGCCACAAGCUGGGGUCCCUCAUAGAGCUUCACCCUGUCCAGGAUUCCAGGAUAGGAGUAUCCAUUGGUGCUAGGGUGCCAGUGGGCACUGUGCCACCAUGCCUGGGGCCUUGCUUUUCCCCAGCCCCCCUUGAGCUCACCAGGCCUGAGAGAGAAGGGAGGGAGGGAAAGGGAGGCAGGAAGGAGAGGGAAGGGGGGUGCUUUUCUCAGGCCUGGGGCCCCUAGCUCUUUGUCCAGCUCCUUUUGCAUCUCAAAGCACCAGCCGCAUUCCAAGCGAGGAUUGGGUUGCCAUGACAAUAAGCACAAUGGGCUGGGGGGUGAAGUCACCCGCUUCCCAGGCUCUAGUCCACCCCCUUUUAUCCCCUGUCCUGGCACCCCACAGCCCCAGGCACCUUAAAGGGGAACCAACCCAGGUUCCUGGACUCUGGGCUCUUGGCCAUGGAAAGUCCAGCCUCUAAGCAGACCCAUUUCCCCUCCCUUCCUGUUCAUCUCCACCAACUAGGGCUACUUGUUGGAGAGAAAUGCAAAGUUGUGGACAAAGUGUUGAACCGAGGCCUGUGAAGUCAGGGCCUUGAUUUUCUCUUCUGUAAAUGAUGAUGCCUUCCAGGUCAGAUGAUCCCUAUCCACGUUGAUAAGACAGGUUCCAGGUCAUACCAACUAAGGGACCAGAUGUGAUGUGCCCCUUCACAGAUUGGCCUGGGUUUGGAGGCUUCUGGAGAACUGUAAAGGGCAUCUAACCCAAUGCCCUCAUUUUACAGACGGGAAAAUGGGUCAUGGAGGAGUGACUUCACCAACAUCACUCAUAGGUGCUUGUGUCCGUGGUGAGAAGGGUGAUGGAGAGAAGUGGCUGCAGUUCCCACCCAUGGAGAGGUCACUGGUGAAUCCCAGCUAAAGAGGAAGGACAGGCCCGGCCUGAGUCCCACAGGUUGGUGAAAGUCCCGAACUUUGUCUCCCCACCCAGAGGACAACUGGCCAGGAAAUCUGCCUGUUUCUUGUCUCACCCUCUAGUCCACACUCUGCCUAACACUACGCCCUACCUCACAUUCCUAUUGACAUCUGCUGCAGAUCACACCCUUGUGAUGGACAAACUGCUCAGUACAGUCCCACCCACCCAGCCUCCUUGUCCUGGGCACGAGGUUUUUGCCUCCCUGAUUUGGAGUAUUUGGCCCUUACUAGAGAGCUGCCAGAUGAGGUAAGUGAGGCACAGAGAGGACAGGAGGAGGGGAGAGGAGCUUCAAGGGGCAGGGCAGUCUGGG
rnacentral:lncRNA from 1 species